rnacentral:rRNA from 1 species
GGUUAAGUUAGAAAGGGCGCACGGUGGAUGCCUUGACACUAGGAGUCGAUGAAGGACGGGACUAACGCCGAUAUGCUUCGGGGAGCUGUAAGUAAGCUUUGAUCCGAAGAUUUCCGAAUGGGGAAACCCACCAUACGUAAUGGUAUGGUAUCCUUAUCUGAAUACAUAGGGUAAGGAAGACAGACCCAGGGAACUGAAACAUCUAAGUACCUGGAGGAAGAGAAAGCAAUGCGAUUUCCUGAGUAGCGGCGAGCGAAACGGAACAUAGCCCAAACCAAGAGGCUUGCCUCUUGGGGUUGUAGGACAUUCUAUACGGAGUUACAAAGGAACGAGGUAGACGAAGCGACCUGGAAAGGUCCGUCGUAGAGGGUAACAACCCCGUAGUCGAAACUUCGUUCUCUCUUGAAUGUAUCCUGAGUACGGCGGAACACGUGAAAUUCCGUCGGAAUCUGGGGAGACCAUCUCCCAAGGCUAAAUACUCCCUAGUGAUCGAUAGUGAACCAGUACCGUGAGGGAAAGGUGAAAAGCACCCCGGAAGGGGAGUGAAAGAGAUCCUGAAACCGUGUGCCUACAAAUAGUCAGAGCCCGUUAACGGGUGAUGGCGUGCCUUUUGUAGAAUGAACCGGCGAGUUACGAUCCCGUGCGAGGUUAAGCUGAAGAGGCGGAGCCGCAGCGAAAGCGAGUCUGAAUAGGGCGUUUAGUACGUGGUCGUAGACCCGAAACCAGGUGAUCUACCAUGUCCAGGGUGAAGUUCAGGUAACACUGAAUGGAGGCCCGAACCCACGCACGUUGAAAAGUGCGGGGAUGAGGUGUGGGUAGCGGAGAAAUUCCAAUCGAACCUGGAGAUAGCUGGUUCUCCCCGAAAUAGCUUUAGGGCUAGCCUUAAGUGUAAGAGUCUUGGAGGUAGAGCACUGAUUGGACUAGGGGUCCUCAUCGGAUUACCGAAUUCAGUCAAACUCCGAAUGCCAAUGACUUAUCCUUAGGAGUCAGACUGCGAGUGAUAAGAUCCGUAGUCAAAAGGGAAACAGCCCAGACCGCCAGCUAAGGUCCCAAAGUGUGUAUUAAGUGGAAAAGGAUGUGGAGUUGCUUAGACAACUAGGAUGUUGGCUUAGAAGCAGCCACCAUUUAAAGAGUGCGUAAUAGCUCACUAGUCGAGUGACUCUGCGCCGAAAAUGUACCGGGGCUAAAUACACCACCGAAGCUGCGGAUUGAUACCAAUGGUAUCAGUGGUAGGGGAGCGUUCUAAGGACAGUGAAGUCAGACCGGAAGGACUGGUGGAGUGCUUAGAAGUGAGAAUGCCGGUAUGAGUAGCGAAAGACGGGUGAGAAUCCCGUCCACCGAAUGCCUAAGGUUUCCUGAGGAAGGCUCGUCCGCUCAGGGUUAGUCAGGACCUAAGCCGAGGCCGACAGGCGUAGGCGAUGGACAACAGGUUGAUAUUCCUGUACCACCUCUUUAUCGUUUGAGCAAUGGAGGGACGCAGAAGGAUAGAAGAAGCGUGCGAUUGGUUGUGCACGUCCAAGCAGUUAGGCUGAUAAGUAGGCAAAUCCGCUUAUCGUGAAGGCUGAGCUGUGAUGGGGAAGCUCCUUAUGGAGCGAAGUCUUUGAUUCCCCGCUGCCAAGAAAAGCUUCUAGCGAGAUAAAAGGUGCCUGUACCGCAAACCGACACAGGUAGGCGAGGAGAGAAUCCUAAGGUGUGCGAGAGAACUCUGGUUAAGGAACUCGGCAAAAUGACCCCGUAACUUCGGGAGAAGGGGUGCUUUCUUAACGGAAAGCCGCAGUGAAUAGGCCCAAGCGACUGUUUAGCAAAAACACAGCUCUCUGCGAAGCCGUAAGGCGAAGUAUAGGGGGUGACACCUGCCCGGUGCUGGAAGGUUAAGGAGAGGGGUUAGCGUAAGCGAAGCUCUGAACUGAAGCCCCAGUAAACGGCGGCCGUAACUAUAACGGUCCUAAGGUAGCGAAAUUCCUUGUCGGGUAAGUUCCGACCCGCACGAAAGGUGUAACGAUUUGGGCACUGUCUCAACCAGAGACUCGGUGAAAUUAUAGUACCUGUGAAGAUGCAGGUUACCCGCGACAGGACGGAAAGACCCCGUGGAGCUUUACUGUAGCCUGAUAUUGAAUUUUGGUACAGUUUGUACAGGAUAGGCGGGAGCCAUUGAAACCGGAGCGCUAGCUUCGGUGGAGGCGCUGGUGGGAUACCGCCCUGACUGUAUUGAAAUUCUAACCUACGGGUCUUAUCGACCCGGGAGACAGUGUCAGGUGGGCAGUUUGACUGGGGCGGUCGCCUCCUAAAGUGUAACGGAGGCGCCCAAAGGUUCCCUCAGAAUGGUUGGAAAUCAUUCGUAGAGUGCAAAGGCAUAAGGGAGCUUGACUGCGAGACCUACAAGUCGAGCAGGGACGAAAGUCGGGCUUAGUGAUCCGGUGGUUCCGCAUGGAAGGGCCAUCGCUCAACGGAUAAAAGCUACCCCGGGGAUAACAGGCUUAUCUCCCCCAAGAGUCCACAUCGACGGGGAGGUUUGGCACCUCGAUGUCGGCUCAUCGCAUCCUGGGGCUGUAGUCGGUCCCAAGGGUUGGGCUGUUCGCCCAUUAAAGCGGUACGCGAGCUGGGUUCAGAACGUCGUGAGACAGUUCGGUCCCUAUCCGUCGUGGGCGUAGGAAAUUUGAGAGGAGCUGUCCUUAGUACGAGAGGACCGGGAUGGACGCACCGCUGGUGUACCAGUUGUUCUGCCAAGGGCAUAGCUGGGUAGCUAUGUGCGGAAGGGAUAAGUGCUGAAAGCAUCUAAGCAUGAAGCCCCCCUCAAGAUGAGAUUUCCCAUAGCGUAAGCUAGUAAGAUCCCUGAAAGAUGAUCAGGUUGAUAGGUUCGAGGUGGAAGCAUGGUGACAUGUGGAGCUGACGAAUACUAAUAGAUCGAGGACUUAACCAU